rnacentral:rRNA from 1 species
GAUGAACGCUGGCGGCGUGCCUAAUACAUGCAAGUCGAGCGAACGGACGAGAAGCUUGCUUCUCUGAUGUUAGCGGCGGACGGGUGAGUAACACGUGGAUAACCUACCUAUAAGACUGGGAUAACUUCGGGAAACCGGGGCUAAUACCGGAUAAUAUUUUGAACCGCAUGGUUCAAAAGUGAAAGACGGUCUUGCUGUCACUUAUAGAUGGAUCCGCGCUGCAUUAGCUAGUUGGUAAGGUAACGGCUUACCAAGGCAACGAUGCAUAGCCGACCUGAGAGGGUGAUCGGCCACCCUGGAACUGAGACACGGUCCAGACUCCUACGGGAGGCAGCAGUAGGGAAUCUUCCGCAAUGGGCGAAAGCCUGACGGAGCAACGCCGCGUGAGUGAUGAAGGUCUUCGGAUCGUAAAACUCUGUUAUUAGGGAAGAACAUAUGUGUAAGUAACUGUGCACAUCUUGACGGUACCUAAUCAGAAAGCCACGGCUAACUACGUG